AGUCGUAACAAGGUCUCCGUAGGUGAACCUGCGGAGNGAUCAUUACAAGAACGCCCGGGCUUCGGCCUGGUUAUUCAUAACCCUUUGUUGUCCGACUCUGUUGCCUCCGGGGCGACCCUGCCUUCGGGCGGGGGCUCCGGGUGGACACUUCAAACUCUUGCGUAACUUUGCAGUCUGAGUAAACUUAAUUAAUAAAUUAAAACUUUUAACAACGGAUCUCUUGGUUCUGGCAUCGAUGAAGAACGCAGCGAAAUGCGAUAAGUAAUGUGAAUUGCAGAAUUCAGUGAAUCAUCGAAUCUUUGAACGCACAUUGCGCCCCCUGGUAUUCCGGGGGGCAUGCCUGUUCGAGCGUCAUUUCACCACUCAAGCCUCGCUUGGUAUUGGGCAACGCGGUCCGCCGCGUGCCUCAAAUCGUCCGGCUGGGUCUUCUGUCCCCUAAGCGUUGUGGAAACUAUUCGCUAAAGGGUGUUCGGGAGGCUACGCCGUAAAACAACCCCAUUUCUANGNUAGACCUCGGACCAGGUAGGGAUACCCGCUGAACUUAAGC
rnacentral:rRNA from 1 species